AAUCAACGCUGGCGGCGCGCUUAACACAUGCAAGUCGCACGAGAAAGUGGAGCAAUCCAUGAGUACAGUGGCGUACGGGUGAGUAACACGUGGAUCAUCUGCCUCUUGGUGGGGAAUAACCCUGGGAAACCGGGGCUAAUACCGCAUAAGCCUGCAAAGGGAAAGCAGCAAUGUGCCGAGAGAGGAGUCCGCGGCCGAUUAGCUAGUUGGUAGGGUAAUGGCCUACCAAGGCAAUGAUCGGUAGCCGGCCUGAGAGGGCACACGGCCACACUGGCACUGAAACACGGGCCAGACUCCUACGGGAGGCAGCAGUGGGGAAUCUUGCACAAUGGGGGCAACCCUGAUGCAGCGACGCCGCGUGAGCGAUGAAGCCCUUCGGGGUGUAAAGCUCUUUCGGCAGGAACGAUAAUGACGGUACCUGCAGAAGAAGCUGCGGCUAACUACGUGCCAGCAGCCGCGGUAAUACGUAGGCAGCAAGCGUUGUUCGGAAUUACUGGGCGUCAAGAGUGUGUAGGCCGUCCUCUAAGUUCCGUGUGAAAUCUCCCGGCUCAACUGGGAGGGUGCG
rnacentral:rRNA from 1 species